rnacentral:rRNA from 1 species
UCAGUUCGGAUUGUAGGCUGAAACUCGCCUACAUGAAGCUGGAGUUACUAGUAAUCGCAGAUCAGAAUGCUGCGGUGAAUGCGUUCCCGGGUCUUGUACACACCGCCCGUCACACCACGGAAGUUGGGGGCGCCCGAAGCCACUUAGCUAACCCAUUUGGGAAGCGAGUGUCGAAGGUGAAAUCAAUAACUGGGGUGAAGUCGUAACAAGGUAUC